GACGAACGCUGGCGGCGUGCUUAACACAUGCAAGUCGAACGGUAAGGCUCCAGCUUGCUGGGGUACACGAGUGGCGAACGGGUGAGUAACACGUGGGUGACCUGCCCUGCACUUCGGGAUAAGCCUGGGAAACUGGGUCUAAUACCGGAUAGGACCGCACCGUGAGGGUGUGGUGGAAAGUUUUUUCGGUGUGGGAUGGGCCCGCGGCCUAUCAGCUUGUUGGUGGGGUAAUGGCCUACCAAGGCGGCGACGGGUAGCCGGCCUGAGAGGGUGGACGGGCACAUUGGGACUGAGACACGGCCCAGACUCCUACGGGAGGCAGCAGGGGGGAAUAUUGCACAAUGGGCGGAAGCCUGAUGCAGCGACGCCGCGUGGGGGAUGACGGCCUUCGGGUUGUAAACUCCUUUCACCAUCGACGAAGGGUUUCUGACGGUAGAUGGAGAAGAAGCACCGGCUAACUACGUG
rnacentral:rRNA from 1 species